GCUCCGCCCCCAACCCGGCUCGUCCCACACUGCACGCUUUCUUCAUGGAGGACGGCGUCACUAACAGGCUGCAGGCUGGGGUCAGAGUUCAGCUCUGGUUGGGUCCUAAGGUCAGGACGCCACUGUGCUGUCCACUAUACGCCUGCUGAAGAUGAAGGCUCAUGAAUGCUGCAUGGGAGCGCGGCGGCGGCGGCGGCGUGGAGGGAAACAACGGGGAAGAUUUGAUCUGAGACGGAGGAUAAAGAGAGUCUGUGAGGAAACAAAGAGUCGCUUCAUGACAACGAGGGUCAAACGGCGUUUUAUCCAAGUUUCCUCCUCCACCCUCAGGAGGCGAACAUGUUUGGGGGGAGGAGGACUUCUCCCAUCAGGGGAAAACAGCAGAGCGCUGAACGUAAACUAACAGACGGGAGUGUUGCUAUGGUAACGCAGGGCCAGAGGCGCAUGGACGACACGUGACCGGAGCUGCAGAGACGGAUCCAGAAGAAUAUUCCAGAACUGAAGGACAAAUUCUCUGAAACUUCACCACUUUGGCUGAUUUACUGCCUGGCUGCAUGUUCACAAUUUAAAAAUAAUAUUUAACAUUUUGGCCUCUUCAUGCUAAGAUGAAACCACCACAAAAUGAUUUAUUUGAACGCAGGGUUAAAACUGUAAAUCUUGUCCCAGAUUUAAAGCAACACUUUCCCACUGUGGCUUCAUUUCUGUCAGGUCAGAGAUCUCAGACUUAUUUCUGCAGCCUCACUUCAACUUGUUGAGGUUUCUCUUUGAGAUCAUUUUUUAAAAAGAUCUUUAAACAUAUUUAAUCUGAGGAAUGCGGAUAUUGUUCAUGUUUUGGCCUGAAACUCAGAAAUCAUCAUCCUGUCCAAAAUAUCUCCAAACAAAACAUAAAGAUAAUCAAGCAAACAAAAUACUGUUAACAACAACAACCUGCACUGCAAACUGCUUUAACACACAGAUUUGGAAUCUCACCGUAUUUUACACUUUGGAAAACAAAACUAAGCAAAACAGAGGAUAAAAAUAUUAAAAUCAACCUACAGCAGAGAGCUGACACCAGGACAGGAGAUGAAUAAUAUCUGGAGGUCACGACUGAAGAGCCCUGACAGAGGAAAUAUUCGUGUCUCAAUAAAAAUCUUCAGCAGGAUAUAUUUGUUUUAUAUUACUAACAUAUCAGCGCAUAUUAAAAUGAACAUAAUGCUCAUGUAUUUUUCUGCGUUUGGUCUGAAGUUUUUCCUGACAGCGUUUGGUUUCUCAGCUUGUUGAACUGAAAUGGUUCUGAGUUAUAAUCAGCAGCUUUGUGUGAAUAAAGAGCAGAAACAUGCAUGA